rnacentral:rRNA from 1 species
UACGAAGGGGGCUAGCGUUGCUCGGAAUCACUGGGCGUAAAGCGCACGUAGGCGGACUCUUAAGUCGGGGGUGAAAUCCUGGAGCUCAACUCCAGAAUUGCCUUCGAUACUGGCUUUCUAGAGGCUGGAAGAGGUUAGUGGAAUUCCCAGUGUAGAGGUGAAAUUCGUAGAUAUUGGGAAGAACACCAGUGGCGAAGGCGGCUAACUGGUCCAGAUCUGACGCUGAGGUGCGAAAGCGUGGGGAGCAAACAGG